UACGGGGGGAGCAAGCGUUGUUCGGAUUUACUGGGCGUAAAGGGCGCGUAGGCGGCGUGACAAGUCACUUGUGAAAUCUCCGGGCUUAACUCGGAACGGUCAAGUGAUACUGUCGUGCUAGAGUACAGAAGGGGCAACUGGAAUUCUCGGUGUAGCGGUGAAAUGCGUAGAUAUCGAGAGGAACACCUGCGGCGAAGGCGGCUACCUGGCCCAAUACUGACACUGAGGUGCGAAAGCGUGGGGAGCAAACAGG
rnacentral:rRNA from 1 species